AUUUACUUAGAGUUUGAUCCUGGCUCAGGACGAACGCUGGCGGUGCGCCUAAUGCAUGCAAGUCGAACGAGAUCGCUUUCUUCGGAGAGCACAUAUCUAGUGGCAGACGGCUGAGUAACACGUAAGUAAUUUGCCCUGAAGAGGGGGAUAAUCCAGAGAAAUCUGGCCUAAUACCCCGUAAGUUUUUUUCCAGCACGCUGGAUUAAAAGAAAGGCUUCGGCCGCUUUAGGAGAAGCUUGCGGCUUAUCAGGUAGUUGGUGGGGUAAUGGCCUACCAAGCCGAAGACGAGUAACCGGUGUGAGAGCACGAUCGGUCAGAGGGGGACUGAGACA
rnacentral:rRNA from 1 species